rnacentral:rRNA from 1 species
CCUACGGGGGGCUGCAGUAGGGAAUCUUCCGCAAUGGACGAAAGUCUGACGGAGCAACGCCGCGUGAGCGAAGAAGGUCUUCGGAUCGUAAAGCUCUGUUGUUAGGGAAGAACAAGUACGGGAGGAAAUGACCGUACCUUGACGGUACCUAACGGGGAAGCCACGGCUAACUACGUGCCAGCAGCCGCGGUAAUACGUAGGUGGCAAGCGUUGUCCGGAAUUACUGGGCGUAAAGGGUAUGUAGGCGGCUAGAUAAGUCAGAUGUGAAAGGCAUAGGCUUAACCUGUGUAAGCAUUUGAAACUGUCUAGUUUGAGGCAAGGAGAGGAAAGUGGAAUUCCUGGUGUAGCGGUGAAAUGCGUAGAUAUCAGGAGGAAUACCAGUGGCGAAGGCGACUCUCUGGACUGUAACUGACGCUGAGGCACGAGAGCGUGGGGAGCAAACAGGAUUAGAUACCCCAGUAGUC